rnacentral:rRNA from 1 species
AUACGACCAUAGCUUGUAGAAAGCACGGGAUCCCGUCCGCUCUCCCUUAGUUAACCUACAAAGCGCUAGAAUAGUACUACGGUGGGUGACCACGUGGGAAUUCCUAGUGUUGUAUG